CUUUACAAACUCUUGAUUUGUCUAACACACUGUGUAAUCUACCGACUGAAAUUAGUAAGUUUGACAGAAUUGAGACACUUGAUUGGAAAUUUCAGCGGGUAUUUGCUGCUAGAAAAUUUGACUAACCUUCGAAAUCUUAAGUAUGCGGAGAUUGAAAGCUGGAAUCAGCUGGGAUGUGAUAAAUUGAUCAAUCUUCGAGAGCUGCACAUAGAACACAAAGAAUGGACAAGAAAAAAGGUAAUGUUCACUUUCAACUCUAUUGCCAAACUAAAAAGCCUUCAAAUAUUAUCAAUUAAGCUGUCAGGUGAGUGUUUAUUUGCUUUACUGCAACCACUCUCUGAUUGUCCAUGCCUUGCAGAUUUGAGACUACGGGGAAAGAUCGAGGAAUUACCAGAGGAAAUACAUGUCAUCUUGGCGAGUCUCGAAUGUUUGUCAUUGGAAAACUCAAAUCUUGAUGAUGCUUCCAAUGCCUGCGUUGGAGAAG
rnacentral:lncRNA from 1 species